GACGGUUGGAGAUAUAAACCAUGGUUUUGGAACAAGUGUCGGCGACAAUGAGAUUGAAGCCAUUGUACUGAUGAGCCUCUGUCGCCAGCUGCUCUGCAAAUUCUCGUGGACUCUUUGUGCUCUGCAAACACUCAGGUACAUACAAUGGUGGCCCGAGAGUCAGUCUUAAGAGAUCUGAUUCUCUUACAUGAUAAAAUAUGGGCGGUGCUUAUCUGC